GUGGAAGAUAAAUCCAGUGGGUCUAUUAAUGAAGACCAAUCCAGCCUCAGUGUAGAGGAUGCAACAAGAAGGAAAGAGCUACUCAGAGAACUUGAGAAAACAGAAUUUACUGUCAAGGUUUGCCUGGGUUGGAAUGUGGUGACAUGAUCAUUCAUCACUGCCGCCUUGAACUCCUGAGCUCAAAUAAUCCUCCUGCAUCAGCCUCCCUAGUAGGUGGGACAACAGGCAUGCACCACUAGGCCUGGCUGAUUUAUUUUUUUACUUAAUUUUUUAUAGAGAUGACAUCUUGCUUUGUUGCCCAGGCUGGUCUUGAACUCCUUAAGUAAUCCUCCCACUUUGACCUCCCAAAAAAUUGGGAUUACAGGCAUGAGCCACGGUGCCUGACCAUUAUCUAUAUUUCUAAGAAGUUUUUUUUUGAGAAACAUGUGUUAAUUUUUUUUUUCUUUUUGAGAUGGAAUUUUGCUCUUGUUGCCCAGACUGGAGUGCAAUGGCGUGAUCUCGGCCCACUGCAACCUCCGUCUCCCAGGUUCAAGCGAUUCUGCUCCCUAGCCUCCCAAGUAGCUGGGGUUACAGGCAUGCACCACCAUGCCCAGCUAAUUUUGUGUUUUUAGUAGAGACGGGGUUUCAUCAUGUUGGUCAGGCAGGUCUCAAACUCCUAGCCUCAGGUGAUCUGCCUGCCUCGGCCUCCCAAAGUGCUGGGAUUACAGGUAUGAGCCACCAUGCCCAGCCAUGUUACUUUUAUUAUAAGAAAACAAUAAUCUUUAAAAACAUUGUUACUCAUAUAUUAUACCAAAUACAUGCUAUCCAGUUAAACUUCCUUUUUUCCUGCUGUUAUCUUGUUUUGCCUAAGAAAAUCCAAAUAGC
rnacentral:lncRNA from 1 species